rnacentral:lncRNA from 1 species
GAGGCGCGACUUUCGAUUCAAUUAAUUUCAAAUUCUCUGUACGAUUUUGCCUUAGCCGUCCAUUUCUCUUCUACGGCCAUGAUCAAAUUCUCUGUACGGUUUUGCCUUAGCCGUCCAUUUCUCUUCGUCUUCUUCGCCCUCUUUGUUUCUCCUCGCUUUCUAUCUUUAGAAUCCUUUUUCGCUUCUUAGCAAUGGCGCCGGUUCCACCUUUUCCUUCUUUUCCGUCUCUAGACUAUAAUAUACUUAAACAGUUCGUCGACUCAGACCCCUCUCGAUUUAUUUUAGGCCUUUCCUUCACAGACGAACCAUCUCCUGCUGAUUUCCCGUAUUCUAGUGAUGGUCUCCCCUUAAUAGCUAAGACCAUUCAUCUCCAAUCUUGGUACCCAUCACCUUCG